UAGAGGCAGGUAGCCUAGUGGUUAGAGCCUAGCGGUUUGAGCAGGUAGCCUAGUGGUUAGAGCAGGUAGUCUAGUGGUUAGAGCAGGUAGUCUAGUGGUUAGAGCAGGUAGCCUAGUGGUUAGAGCAGGUAGUCUAGUGGUUAGAGCAGGUAGUCUAGUGGUUAGAGCAGGUAGUCUAGUGGUUAGAGCAGGUAGUCUAGUGGUUAGAGCAGGUAGUCUAUUGGUUAGAGCAGGUUGCCUAGUGGUUAGAGCAGGUAGCCUAGUGGUUAGAGACAGGUAGCCUAGUGGUUAGAGGCAGGUAGCCUAGUGGUUAGAGCCUAGCGGUUUGAGCAGGUAUCCUAGUGGUUAGAGCAGGUAGUCUAGUGGUUAGAGCAGGUUGCCUAGUGGUUAGAGCAGGUUGCCUAGUGGUUAGAGCAGGUUGCCUAGUGGUUAGAGCAGGUAGUCUAGUGGUUAGAGGCAGGUAGCCUAGUGGUUAGAGCCUAGCGGUUUGAGCAGGUAUCCUAGUGGUUAGAGCAGGUUGCCUAGUGGUUAGAGCAGGUUGCCUAGUGGUUAGAGCAGGUAGUCUAGUGGUUAGAGCAGGUUGCCUAGUGGUUAGAGCAGGUAGUCUAGUGGUUAGAGCAGGUAGUCUAGUGGUUAGAGCAGGUUGCCUAGUGGUUAGAGCAGGUAGCCUAGUGGUUAGAGACAGGUAGCCUAGUGGUUAGAGCCUAGCAGUUUGAGCAGGUAUCCUAGUGGUUAGAGACAGGUAGCCUAGUGGUUAGAGACAGGUCGCCUAGUGGUUAGAGCAGGUAGCCUUGUGGUUAGAGGCAGGUAGCCUAGUGGGUAGAGACAGGUAGCCUAGUGGUUAGAGCCUAGUGAUUAGAGCAGGUAGCCUAGUGGUUAGAGCAGGUAGCCUAGUGGUUAGAGCAGCUAGCCUAGUGGUUAGAGCAGGUAGCCUAGUGUUUAGAGCCUAGUGUUUAGAGCAGGUAGCCUAGUGGUUGGAGCAGGUAGCCUAGUGGUUUGAGCAGCUAGCCUAGUGGUUAGAGCCUAGUGGUGAGAGCAGGUAGCCUUGAGGUUAGAGCAGGUAGCCUAGUGGUUAGAGCAUUGGACUAGUAACCGAAAGAUCGAAUCCCCCAAGCUGACAAGGUAAAAAUCUGUCCUUCUGCCCCUGAACUGUUCCCCAGGAGGCCGUCAUUGUAAAUAAUAUUUUUUCUAAACUGACUUGUUAAAUUAAAGAUAAAAUAAAAUGUAAAAAACGCUACAUCGUUGUCACGUCAUGGUCAACAUAGCUACUAGAACUAACACGUUAGUAAACCUGCUUCAAACAUUAAGUACAGUCAGCAAGCGGUUUAGCAGCAAGCGGAUUAACCCGCUACAAUCAUUCAGUAACGUUACAGUGUACAGUCAGUAAGCAGUUACACCAGUGGGCCCCGAUGGCAAUACAUUUGUAAAAUCAAAAGCCUUACCUUGGCUUAGAAGAGUUCCAGUGUUGUGUUGGAUAGUCAUAGCUAGCUAACAUAGCAUCGCUCUGUUAUAGCCAGCUCGCUAAAAUAGCAUCCCUCUGUUAUAGCCAGCUAGCCAAUAUACCAUCCCUCUGUUAUAGCCAGCUAGCUAACAUAGCAUCCCUCUGUUAUAGCCAGCUAGCUAACAUAGCGUCCCUCUGUUAUAGCCAGCUAGCUAACAUAGCAUCCCUCUGUUAUAGCCAGCUAGCUAACAUAGCAUCCCUCUGUUAUAGCCAGCUAGCUAACAUAGCAUCCCUCUGUUAUAGCCAGCUAGCUAACAUAGCAUCCCUCUGUUAUAGCCAGCUAGCUAACAUAGCAUUCCUCUGUUGUAGCCAGCUAGCUAACAUAGAAUCCCUCUGUUAUAGCCAGCUAGCUAACAUAGCAGUUAUAGCCAGCUAGCUAACAUAGCAUCCCUCUGUUGUAGCCAGCUAGCCAAUAUAGCAUCCCUCUGUUAUAGCCAGCUAGCUAACAUAGCAUCCCUCUGUUAUAGCCAGCUAGCUAACAUAGCAUCCCUCUGUUAUAGCCAGCUAGCUAACAUAGCAUCCCUCCGUUAUAGCCAGCUAGCUAACAUAGCAUUCCUCUGUUGUAGCCAGCUAGCUAACAUAGAAUCCCUCUGUUAUAGCCAGCUAGCUAACAUAGCAGUUAUAGCCAGCUAGCUAACAUAGCAUCCCUCUGUUGUAGCCAGCUAGCUAAUAUAGCAUCCCUCUGUUAUAGCCAGCUAGCUAACAUAGCAUCCCUCUGUUAUAGCCAGCUAGCUAACAUAGCAUCCCUCUGUUAUAGCCAGCUAGCUAACAUAGAAU